GUAGGUGGCAAGCGUUGUCCGGAAUUAUUGGGCGUAAAGCGCGCGCAGGCGGUCCUUUAAGUCUGAUGUGAAAGCCCACGGCUCAACCGUGGAGGGUCAUUGGAAACUGGGGGACUUGAGUACAGAAGAGGAAAGCGGAAUUCCAAGUGUAGCGGUGAAAUGCGUAGAGAUUUGGAGGAACACCAGUGGCGAAGGCGGCUUUCUGGUCUGUAACUGACGCUGAGGCGCGAAAGCGUGGGGAGCAAACAGGGGUUAGAUACCCUGGUAGUCCACGCCGUAAACGAUGAGUGCUAAGUGUUAGGGGGUUUCCCGCCCCCUUAGUGCUGCAGCUAACGCAUUAAGCACUCCGCCUGGGGAGUACGGCCGCAAGGCUG
rnacentral:rRNA from 1 species